rnacentral:rRNA from 1 species
GAUGAACGCUGGCGGCGUGCUUAACACAUGCAAGUCGAACGAGAAGUGAAGACGGAAACCUUCGGGCGGAAGGCUUUAUUUCGAGUGGCGGACGGGUGAGUAACGCGUGGGUAACCUGCCUCAUACAGGGGGAUAACAGUUGGAAACGACUGUUAAUACCGCAUAAGACCACAGCACCGCAUGGUGCGGGGGUAAAAACUCCGGUGGUAUGAGAUGGACCCGCGUUCGAUUAGCCAGUUGGCGGGGUCACGGCCCACCAAAGCGACGAUCGAUAGCCGAUCUGAGAGGAUGACCGACCACAUUGGGACUAAGACACGGCCCCAACUCCUACGGGAGGCAGCAGUGGAGAAUAUUGCACGAUGGGGGAAAACCUGAUGCAGCGGCGCCGCGUAAGUGAAGAAGUAUUUCGGUAUGUAAAGCUCUAUCAGCAGGGAAGAAAAUGACGGUACCUGAGUAAGAAGCCCCGGCUAACUACGUG